rnacentral:rRNA from 1 species
GAUGAACGCUAGCGGCAGGCCUAAUACAUGCAAGUCGAGCGGCAAGUUGAGAAGCAAUUCGAGACCUAGAGCGGCGUACGGGCGCGUAACGCGUAUGCAACCUACCUCAUACAGGGGAAUAGCCCGGAGAAAUCUGGAUUAAUACCCCAUAGUACAUAUAGAGGGCAUCUGAAAUAUGUUAAAGAUUCAUCGGUAUGAGAUGGGCAUGCGUCUGAUUAGCUAGUUGGCGGUGUAACGGACCACCAAGGCGACGAUCAGUAGGGGUCCUGAGAGGAAGGUCCCCCACACUGGCACUGAGAUACGGGCCAGACUCCUACGGGAGGCAGCAGUAGGGAAUAUUGGGCAAUGGUCGGAAGACUGACCCAGCCAUGCCGCGUGCAGGAAGAAGGCCCUCUGGGUUGUAAACUGCUUUUAUCUGGGAAGAAAAGGCCCGUGCGCGGGACAUUGCCGGUACCAGAUGAAUAAGCACCGGCUAACUCCGUGCCAGCCGCCGCUGUAACAC